rnacentral:rRNA from 1 species
GGACUGCCUUUUGCAUAAUGAGCCUGCGAGUUGUGGUGUCUGGCAAGGUUAAGCAAACGCGAAGCCGUAGCGAAAGCGAGUCUGAAUAGGGCGCUUAGUCAGAUGCUGCAGACCCGAAACGAAGUGAUCUAUCCAUGAGCAAGUUGAAGCUAGUGUAAGAACUAGUGGAGGACUGAACCCAUAGGCGUUGAAAAGCCCCGGGAUGACUUGUGGAUAGGGGUGAAAGGCCAAUCAAACUUCGUGAUAGCUGGUUCUCUCCGAAAUAUAUUUAGGUAUAGCGUUGUGUCGUAAUAUAAGGGGGUAGAGCACUGAAUGGGCUAGGGCAUACACCAAUGUACCAAACCCUAUCAAACUCCGAAUACCUUAUAUGUAAUCACAGCAGUCAGGCGGCGAGUGAUAAAAUCCGUCGUCAAGAGGGAAACAACCCAGACUACCAGCUAAGGUCCCUAAAUCUUACUUAAGUGGAAAACGAUGUGAAGUUACUUAAACAACCAGGAGGUUGGCUUAGAAGCAGCCAUCCUUUAAAGAAAGCGUAAUAGCUCACUGGUCUAGUGAUUUUGCGCGGAAAAUAUAACGGGGCUAAAGUAAGUACCGAAGCUGUAGACUUAGUUUACUAAGUGGUAGGAGAGCGUUCUAUUUGCGUCGAAGGUAUACCGGUAAGGAGUGCUGGAGCGAAUAGAAGUGAGCAUGCAGGCAUGAGUAGCGAUAAUUAAUGUGAGAAUCAUUAACGCCGUAAACCCAAGGUUUCCUACGCGAUGCUCGUCAUCGUAGGGUUAGUCGGGUCCUAAGUCGAGUCCGAAAGGGGUAGACGAUGGCAAAUUGGUUAAUAUUCCAAUACCAACAUUAGUGUGCGAUGGAAGGACGCUUAGGGCUAAGGGGGCUAGCGGAUGGAAGUGCUAGUCUAAGGUCGUAGGAGGUUAUACAGGCAAAUCCGUAUAACAAUACUCCGAGAACUGAAAGGCUUUUUGAAGUCUUCGGAUGGAUAGAAGAACCCCUGAUGCCGUCGAGCCAAGAAAAGUUUCUAAGUUUAGCUAAUGUUGCCCGUACCGUAAACCGACACAGGUGGGUGGGAUGAGUAUUCUAAGGCGCGUGGAAGAACUCUCUUUAAGGAACUCUGCAAAAUAGCACCGUAUCUUC